CAGAGUCUUCCCACCUGGAUCUUCCUCUGAGGCCACCAGAGAUAGGAAGAAAAAGAAAGGUGAAAUAUCCAAGCUGCUGCUCCCAUCCCUCCUGCAAGGGCAGUGACUGGAAGAAAUCUGAAGAAUUCAAAGAAUCUGCCUGGAUGUGUGGGAAUGGUUGGUCAUGGGACAAUCUAUUCAAGUCCAGGGAUCCAGCUGGCACCUGUCACGAGUCCCACCCUCACUGUGGGGACAGCACAAGGAGCAAUGUCACCCCACAGCCCUGUGAUGGCAUUCCUUGGAUCAUUAACUCCUGACCAGCACCAC